CUAAAUUGCUGAGGCUGACUUUGAACUCUCAAUCCUGCUCCUGGGCUGCUGGGAUGCCACUGCAUCCAGCUUGAUUUUAAACUUUCUAGUAAUCACAUUUAAAAUGGUAAAAAAAAAAAAAAACAGGUGAAAUUAAUUUUAAUAAUAUUUUUAUUUAACCCAGUUUAUCCAAAGUAUUGUUUCAACAUGUAAUCUAUGUACAGGAAUUAUUCAUGAGAUAUUUUACAUUCUGUUUUCAUACUUGAGCAGAAAUCAAGUAUAUAUUUAUACUUCUCCACACCUCAAUUCAGAUUUAAAUUUUCAUUAAAAAAUAUUCAAAUUGUAGUUAUAGUUGUAGAUUCAUAUAACCAAGUUGUCCCAAACAUACUUAAAUGGUUCCCAGCAAUUGAAUUGAGUAUCAGUGUAUAAAUUUUAAUUUUAGAUAUGAAUAAAUAAGCUUAGAAGUCAGUUCUCAGGGGCACUGGCCAUAUUCCAAGUACUCAAUAGCCACAUGUGACAGGUGGCUUCCACAGGGACAGCACAGGCCCAGAGAGCAAGAAUUCACUGACACAUCUACAAAAGAAGAUCCAGUCAGUCAUAGAGAAAUAAGGAAGUCUAAGCAAAUCUGUUCCUGGGACCCCACCAUACCUGGAUAUGCCAGGCACACAGCAGGGUGGGCUGGCUGGAGAUUUGUUUGCUUCGGAGGGUUAAAAAUAAUAAUAAUAAUAAUAAUAUUAAUAUGGGGCUGGGGAUGUGGCUCAAGCAGUAGCGCGCUCACCUGGCAUGUGUGGGGCACUGGGUUUACUCCUCAGCCAGCACCACAUAAAAAUAAAAUAAAGAUGUUGUGUCCACCAAAAACUGAAAAAUAAAUAUUAAAAAUUCUCUCUCUCUUUAAAAUCAUCAUCAUCGUCAUCAUCUUUAUCCCUUCCUGGAAGGUCACCUCACUCUAGGGGAAGUAGAAAACAAGUUUGGCCCAGUAGAGCCAUGAAAGAGAGUUGAAGUGGCCCCAAACUGGACCCAUAGAAGGGGACUCCUGGGAAGACCGAAUGGGGCUUUGAGUUACAAAGGACUGUUUUGUGCUCCUCGGGGAUACUGAGAGGCUCAAGCAAUCAUGCUUUGGAUGGCCCUGUGAGAAACACUUAAGGGACCAACAUGCCACCAUUCAGCUUCUCUGUUUCAAGGGCAUGGUAGGUCAACAAGAAUACCCAGAAAGGGGUAGAAUGAUUGCCCAAAUGGUCACAAUGACUCCCCUCCCAGCCUUCAUACUCUUUGCCAUGAGACUUUGUAG
rnacentral:lncRNA from 1 species